CUGGCGGCGUGCCUAAUACAUGCAAGUCGAGCGCGGGAAGUCAGGGAAGCCUUCGGGUGGAACUGGUGGAACGAGCGGCGGAUGGGUGAGUAACACGUAGGUAACCUGCCCUAAAGCGGGGGAUACCAUCUGGAAACAGGUGCUAAUACCGCAUAACCCCAGCAGUCACAUGAGUGCUGGUUGAAAGACGGCUUCGGCUGUCACUUUAGGAUGGACCUGCGGCGUAUUAGCUAGUUGGUGGAGUAACGGUUCACCAAGGCGAUGAUACGUAGCCGACCUGAGAGGGUAAUCGGCCACAUUGGGACUGAGACACGGCCCAAACUCCUACGGGAGGCAGCAGUAGGGAAUCUUCCACAAUGGACGCAAGUCUGAUGGAGCAACGCCGCGUGGAUGAAGAAGGUCUUCGGAUCGUAAAAUCCUGUUGUUGAAGAAGAACGGUUGUGAGAGUAACUGCUCAUAACGUGACGGUAAUCAACCAGAAAGUCACGGCUAACUACGUG
rnacentral:rRNA from 1 species